rnacentral:rRNA from 1 species
AGACGUCUACAUUAGACUACCCCCGUAGUCCCAGCCGUAAACUAUGCGCGUUAGGUGUAUCGGUGACCACGAGUCACCGAGGUGCCGAAGGGAAACCGUGAAACGUGCCGCCUGGGAAGUACGGUCGCAAGGCUGAAACUUAAAGGAAUUGGCGGGGAGCACCACAACGGGUGGAGCCUGCGGUUUAAUUGGACUCAACGCCGGGAAGCUCACCGGAUAAGACAGCGGAAUGAUUGCCGGGCUGAAGACUCUGCAUGACUAGCUG